rnacentral:rRNA from 1 species
AAUCAACGCUGGCGGCGUGCCUCAGACAUGCAAGUCGAACGCGAAAGUCCCCUUCGGGGACGAAGUAGAGUGGCGCACGGGUGAGUAACACGUAGGUAAUCUACCUUCGGAGUGGGGAAGUAACAACCGGAAACGGUUAGCUAAUACCGCAUAAUGCAGCGGCGACCUAAUGGUGACAGUUGUUAAAGACGGGGGAGUCGUAAGACCUCGCGUCUGAAGAGGAGCCUGCGGCGGAUUAGCAGUU